AUUGAACGCUGGCGGCAUGCCUUACACACGCAAGUCGAACGGCAGCACGGGAGCAAUCCUGGUGGCGAGUGGCGAACGGGUGAGUAAUAUAUCGGAACGUGCCCAGUCGUGGGGAUAACGUAGCGAAAGCUACGCUAAUACCGCAUACGAUCUAUGGAUGAAAGCGGGGGAUCGCAAGACCUCGCGCGAUUGGAGCGGCCGAUAUCAGAUUAGGUAGUUGGUGAGGUAAAGGCUCACCAAGCCGACGAUCUGUAGCUGGUCUGAGAGGACGACCAGCCACACUGGGACUGAGACACGGCCCAGACUCCUACGGGAGGCAGCAGUGGGGAAUUUUGGACAAUGGGCGCAAGCCUGAUCCAGCAAUGCCGCGUGCAGGAUG
rnacentral:rRNA from 1 species